UGUGUGUGUGUGUGUGUGUUCCAUUUGUUUUUGUUCUGCUUUUUAUGUAUGUUGCUAUUAUCAUUGCUUAAUUUGCUUUGAUUUUUGUGUAGGAUUUUGUUGUGGGAAGUAGUGGUUGGUAAUUGUUGUCAGUAUUGGUUACAAUGUUUAUGUUUAAUUUGGUUUUGGUUUUGUUUUCUAUGUUGGAAAUUUUGCUUUCCUUCUGUCUGAAAAUUUUUAUGUUUAUAAAAUCCUUGCUUCUUAUUUUUGCAGACAAUGCUGGUGUCAUUGUGAA
rnacentral:misc_RNA from 1 species